AGAGUUUGAUCCUGGCUCAGGACGAACGCUGGCGGCGUGCUUAACACAUGCAAGUCGAACGGAAAGGCCCUUCGGGGUACUCGAGUGGCGAACGGGUGAGUAACACGUGGGUGAUCUGCCCUGCACUUUGGGAUAAGCCUGGGAAACUGGGUCUAAUACCGGAUAGGAUCAUGCUCUUCAUGGGGUGUGGUGGAAAGCUUUUGCGGUGUGGGAUGGGCCCGCGGCCUAUCAGCUUGUUGGUGGGGUAAUGGCCUACCAAGGCGACGACGGGUAGCCGGCCUGAGAGGGUGACCGGCCACACUGGGACUGAGAUACGGCCCAGACUCCUACGGGAGGCAGCAGUGGGGAAUAUUGCACAAUGGGCGCAAGCCUGAUGCAGCGACGCCGCGUGAGGGAUGACGGCCUUCGGGUUGUAAACCUCUUUCACCAGGGACGAAGCGCAAGUGACGGUACCUGGAGAAGAAGCACCGGCCAACUACGUGCCAGCAGCCGCGGUAAUACGUAGGGUGCGAGCGUUGUCCGGAAUUACUGGGCGUAAAGAGCUCGUAGGUGGUUUGUCGCGUUGUUCGUGAAAACUCACAACUCAAUUGUGGGCGUGCGGGCGAUACGGGCAGACUAGAGUACUGCAGGGGAGACUGGAAUUCCUGGUGUAGCGGUGGAAUGCGCAGAUAUCAGGAGGAACACCGGUGGCGAAGGCGGGUCUCUGGGCAGUAACUGACGCUGAGGAGCGAAAGCGUGGGGAGCGAACAGGAUUAGAUACCCUGGUAGUCCACGCCGUAAACGGUGGGUACUAGGUGUGGGUUCCUUCCUUGGGAUCCGUGCCGUAGCUAACGCAUUAAGUACCCCGCCUGGGGAGUACGGCCGCAAGGCUAAAACUCAAAGGAAUUGACGGGGGCCCGCACAAGCGGCGGAGCAUGUGGAUUAAUUCGAUGCAACGCGAAGAACCUUACCUGGGUUUGACAUGCACAGGACGCCGGCAGAGAUGUCGGUUCCCUUGUGGCCUGUGUGCAGGUGGUGCAUGGCUGUCGUCAGCUCGUGUCGUGAGAUGUUGGGUUAAGUCCCGCAACGAGCGCAACCCUUGUCCUAUGUUGCCAGCGGGUUAUGCCGGGGACUCGUAGGAGACUGCCGGGGUCAACUCGGAGGAAGGUGGGGAUGACGUCAAGUCAUCAUGCCCCUUAUGUCCAGGGCUUCACACAUGCUACAAUGGCCGGUACAAAGGGCUGCGAUGCCGUGAGGUGGAGCGAAUCCUUUCAAAGCCGGUCUCAGUUCGGAUCGGGGUCUGCAACUCGACCCCGUGAAGUCGGAGUCGCUAGUAAUCGCCAGAUCAGCAACGCUGCGGUGAAUACGUUCCCGGGCC
rnacentral:rRNA from 1 species